UGGGGAAUAUUGCACAAUGGGCGCAAGCCUGAUGCAGCCAUGCCGCGUGUAUGAAGAAGGCCUUCGGGUUGUAAAGUACUUUUAGCGGGGAGGAAGGGAGUAAAGUUAAUACCUUUGCUCAUUGACGUUACCCGCAGAAGAAGCACCGGCUAACUCCGUGCCAGCAGCCGCGGUAAUACGGAGGGUGCAAGCGUUAAUCGGAAUUACUGGGCGUAAAGCGCACGCAGGCGGUUUGUUAAGUCAGAUGUGAAAUCCCCGGGCUCAACCUGGGAACUGCAUCUGAUACUGGCAAGCUUGAGUCUCGUAGAGGGGGGUAGAAUUCCAGGUGUAGCGGUGAAAUGCGUAGAGAUCUGGAGGAAUACAGGUGGCGAAGGCGGCCCCCUGGACGAAGACUGACGCUCAGGUGCGAAAGCGUGGGGAGCAAACAGG
rnacentral:rRNA from 1 species